GGAGAAACGGGGGGCCGGAGAGCUGGGAGCCCGCCGGGGCGACUGUGUUCCCCAGGUCGGUCCCUGUCUGACAGGAUCCGUGUCAGGGGGCCCGGGAGAGGCGCGGGGUGAGGGUACCCCCAGUGAGGGGCCGCGGGAAAGCCUCUCUGGCCACCCCCAUUUGGGGAAGAGCUCCCGCGCGAGAGGAUGGAGGUGUGGGUCCCUUUACGGGGGGAAAAAUUCUUGAACAGAGUUUCCUCAUUUAAUUCCCCCCCCCCUCCACUUUUCCCUUUUGCUCUUCUGGAAUUGGGGUCCUGUCGCCCCUGCAAGCGGCACUGCCCGCCGGGCGGGGCCGGGAAGGAGGGAAGGGAGCCUGGAGGACGUGACACCAGGCUUGGGUCCCUCCACCCCCUGCUUCCCCGCCACUGCGGCUCUCCAAUUUGGCGCGGAACCGGCUUCUCCAGAGCCCGCUCUUAGAGGCUCGCCCAGGCGCCUGGCGGGCCGAGGCCGGGACGUGCCUUUCCCACCCUUGAUGCACAGAGAAAUGCGUGAAUACCCGAAAAAUACUCAUCGCAGGGGUGCUGGGGUACUGUGCAGAUUUCUGAACGCACUCACUUUCCGAGUUUAAUUCGGUUGAGGAAAUGAGGGCAUAUAUGUAAAAUUACUAUGAGAUAAUUAAUGUAUUUUGGAAAAUGACCUGGAUUUUUUUUUAAAGGCUCAGGCCACCUUCUGGUAACGUUAGCUGUUCAUUUCUGAAUCAAUUUUAAUUGGCACUUGGAAAAUAUGAAUGAAUGAAUGAAUGAAUGAAUGUGUUCUUGAUUUUGAUUUUUCUCCCCCAUUUAGGGUUUCAUAGACCUUAAAGAAGAGAAUGUCGAGACGCAGUAGCCGUUUACAAGCUAAGCAGCAGCAUGCCCAGCCCAGCCAGCCAGACUCCCCACAAGAAGCCCAGAUAAUUCAGGCCAAGAAGAGGAAAACAGCACAGGAUGUCAAAAAAGGAAAAGAGGAGAUCAGCAAGAAGCAUCAGUACGAGAUUCGGAAUUGUUGGCCGCCUGUACUGUCUGGAGGAAUCAGUCCUUGCAUUAUCAUUGAAACACCCCAUAAAGAAAUAGGAACAAGCGACUUCUCUAGAUUUACAAAUUACAGAUUUAAAAACCUUUUUAUUAAUCCUUCACCUCUGCCAGAUUUAAGCUGGGGAUGUUCACAGGAGGUUUGGCAAAACAUGCUGCAGAAGGAGAGCAGAUACGUACAUGGCAAACACUUUCAAGUUCUUCACUCUGACCUGGAACCACAGAUGAGGUCAAUACUUUUAGACUGGCUUUUAGAGGUAUGUGAAGUCUACACACUUCAUAGGGAGACAUUCUACCUUGCCCAAGACUUUUUUGACAGAUUUAUGUUGACACAAAAAGAUGUAAAUAAAAAUAUGCUUCAACUCAUUGGGAUUACCUCAUUGUUCAUUGCUUCUAAACUUGAGGAAAUCUACGCUCCCAAACUCCAAGAGUUUGCUUAUGUCACUGAUGGUGCUUGCAGUGAAGUAGAUAUAUUAAAGAUGGAACUCAAUAUAUUAAAGGCUUUAAAAUGGGAACUUUGUCCUGUAACAGCCAUUUCCUGGUUGAAUCUUUUUCUCCAAGUUGAUGCUGUUAAAGAUGUUCCUAAGGUUCUUCUACCUCAGUAUUCCCAGGAGACAUUCAUCCAGAUAGCUCAGCUUUUAGAUCUGUGUAUCCUCUCUAUUGACUCAUUAGAAUUCCAGUACAGAAUUCUGGCAGCUGCAGCCUUAUGCCAUUUUACCUCCAUUGAAGUGGUUAAGAAAGCCUCAGGUUUGGAAUGGGAGGACAUUUCCGAAUGUGUAGACUGGAUGGUGCCUUUUGUCAGUGUAGUAAAAAGUGUAAGUCCAGUGAAGCUGAAGACCUUUAAGAAGAUAGCCAUGGAAGACAGGCACAAUAUCCAGACACAUACAAAUUAUUUGGCUUUGCUGAGUGAAGUGAACUAUGUGAGCACCUUCAGACAAGGAGGGCAGUUGUCACCAGUGUGUAACGGCGGCAUUAUGACACCUCCGAAGAGUACUGAAAAACCAUCAAUAAAACCCUGAGUUAACAUCCAAUUGGAUUGAAAAGAUACUGGAUAAGGUUCAUACAAAUGAGCUAUUGCUGCUGUCUUUGGUUGCCUCUCAAAAAGGAAGGUAAAUUUACCUACUCUUGAAGACACGGUAUACUUCACAGGGCCCAGAGUCUCCUGACCUGCAUCUGAUGAUCUAAGUCUUGUGAAGACUAGCUCCUAUGGUACCAGAAGGCAUCAUGCAAGCUUCCAAAGGAAGUAAGCAAGCAACAGUCUUACUUAGCUGUGCUUCCUGUGAACCACAAGCAGCAUGGCACAGUAUCCCCAAGGGUGCAGUAGUGUCACUCAACCUUGGUAGUAACCAACAGCUCUCUAAUUGGACCUAAGGCCUACUCAGCAGGAAGGAAACCAUGCCUCAUAUUGGAAGCCUGUCCAACCCCCAAGGCUGCUAAAGCCAUGGAUCUUGAAAGAGUCCCCAACCACUUUAUUGUCCUUAUACCCAUCAAAGAGACUUCUCUGCACCAGACAGAGACCAUUACAGAAAACCCAGUCACAACAGAUAUAUCUACAAAGAACUCCCACAUGUAAGACUCAGGAAUCAUUUCGGAAGAGGGGUCUUAAGAUUUUCUGAACCAGAGGGUAAGGGAGUUUGCUGUGAGAUUGUGUCUCCUAGGUGUGUUAGGAGCCCAUAAACCCUGACAAAAUGAGCUGAACAAGGACACUACACAUGCUAACUAAAGUGGACAGGGCAAAGCUUACAAGGCCUCAAGAAAUGGCCAGACCAGGGAAGAGUCCCCAUCUGUUUAUUAUUGUGUAUAUACAUACACAUACAUGCAUGGAACAAUUACUUUUUCAAAGCCAUGAAUUUGAGAGAAAAAAAGGGUAUAUGAGAGGGCUUGGAGAGGAAAGGGAGGGAGAAAUGAUAUAAUCUCAAAUGCUUUUUAAUGAUGCAGUAUAAAAAUACCAAGGGAUUACUAAGAAUAUUACUUUCCAACCCCAGGUAAAUGGGAGAACAGAAGCAAGCUGGAUCAUUGGUAAAAGUACUUGCCAUGCAAGCCUGAUGGUGCCAUGGUAGAACUAGUUUCUCAAAAACUGCCUUCUGAAUUAUAUAUGUAUACUGUGGUACACAUCACACACAUGCACUGGGGAGACACAUCUGUAAUUCUAGCAUGCUCUGUGAAGAGAUGGGAAGUCAAGACAAUUCCCAGAACCCUACAGAACCCACUGUCUAAUGUACCCAGCAAUGAACAAAAGAGCCUGUCUCAAAGUUUCUACCUUCUGGCAAGGAUCAACACCCAAGGUUAUCUUCUGACCACCUCUUAUGCCCCAUAGCACAAGUGUGGCCACACUUAAACACUACAAACACAAUGUAUAUACAGCAUUAGUAGAUGGAAGAAGGUACAGCAUUCAGUCGAGCAGGCAAACUGUAGGCCAGUCCCAAUUAAAUGUUUCCUUUAUAAGAGCUCCUGUGGUCAUGGUGGAUCUUCACUGCAAUAGAAACCCUAAGAUAGCUAGCAAGAUGUUCAGUGGGUAAAAGCUUGCUGUCAAACCUGAUAUCCUGAGUUUCAAUCUUUGACAUUCAGAUACUAGGAGAUAAUAGACUAAUGUAAGUUGUUCUCUGACUAUUAAAAUACACCCAAACAUACACAGAAAUGUUUAAAAAAAAAAAAAGAUACAAGUAAAAUUUAAAGUACUUGUUCAGUAAUUGUUGGGCACCAUUCUAGUUUUCUAUGAACAAGGCUUCACAGAAGAGUAAAUACAUAGCAUGUCAAAUGUUGGCAGAUGUUGCAGAGAGAGAGAAUAAGAGUAGGAAGGUGGUGGAGGCAUGCUAGUCUAGAAGAUGUCCAGGGAAGGCUAACCACUAAAAUAGCAAGGCAGAGACCUGAGGAACCUGAAUGCUCCCAGAUAAGAAAACACCAAAGGACCCUCCCCAGAGAAGUAGUCUUCUUAACAUGUUUGAACAAUAGUAGGGAUAUGUGUAUUAACGUUAACAAAGGGAAAAACUAAACCAGUAAGUCACUAUAAGGAUCCAGUGAGAUGAAAACUCACUUGAAGAUUUACAACAGGUAAAUACAAUGCUCUAAUAAAGUCAAGUAACAUUACAAGUAGAUAAAGAUAACUAAAUUCUGGCAGUAAAUGGGCAAACACUCUUUGCUCAAUGGUACAAAUCUAAAUUAAUAUUCUGAAAACAACAUCACUGCAGAACGGGGUAAAGC